rnacentral:lncRNA from 1 species
AGAAGUAAAUUAUUUAUGCAAAAUAAUUAUUAUAUUCAUAAAAUAAACACGUGUUGUAUUAGCUGUAUUUAUCUUUCAAUACUGAAAUUAUACUAACACAACUAGUCGCCUAAGACUCAGCGAUUGUUAAUUAAAUAGUAAUACCUACUAUGGGAGAACAUAUUAUAUGUAUAUUAAUGAAUAAACAGAACUAUAUUAUGUAUAAUAAAUAAACAAACAAGCGUAUAUUAUAGUUUGACUAUAAUUUCAGACGGUGUUUUCAAGAUUCGUCUGAAUAGCGGAAAAGGCAGCAAGAAUUAAAGGCUGUCUUUCUACAGGAGAGAAAUGUCCACAGAAUUUCGGAGCUUGCAACGAGCUUGCGUUCCUUAUUUUUGUCAUUUUGCCGGGACGGAAAACACUGACUCGUCAAGUGCAUCAUAAAUUUGGAAAUUUUAUCUGAAAUUGGCCAUUAAUUUGCCGACUAGCGCCAAACCUUUUCCGCAAGCCCUGUUUACUUAGUCAUACAGUCGGUUGCAGUCGGUAAUUAUCAAUGGGAAAAUUUCGUUUUUCCAGUCCAUUGUCAAGAAAAUGUCUUAAUGUAACCGAAUGUCGAACCAUGCCAUGUUUAUUCAUACUGCCUUUAUACACUGCAUUCAUUACACCACAUUACAUUACAAUUACAUAAUAUUUUUACAGCUAAACCAUAUUUUCUAAUCUACAGGGACCGGUUGUAUAAAUAUACCGAAACACUGCGCAUGUAUGAAAUUCAUUCAAACCUUUUAAAACUCGUCAUAAAUAUGUAUACAUUGUUAACGUUUGGGUAAAUUUUAACAUUUUUUAUGUCCAAGAUUGUUGUGACCAGGAAAAUAUAAAAUUCCAGUUCCGCCACGAUUAACAACCCACCAUAGCACAUGAUUCAAAGUCACAUAUAUUUCGAAUGUUGGGACAAACAAAAGCUAUAAAAACAAUGUAUAAUGUCUAUAAUCGACGCAAUAUUUUAGUUGUCGAAUGAGUAACAUAGCAAAAGAUUUUUAGAAUGGUCUCAAAUUUUGAUAAUGCGAACGAAUUUAUGCCAGAUUUGAAUAAAUUAAAUCCGCAAAACUGAAGAGGCUGUCAAGUCCGUUCUGCGCAUGCGCGUGUUUUGUUUACAUUUCUGUUUCAAACAAAUUUUAAUUAAAUUAUCUAUUGUUUGAAACAAAAAUGUAAACAAAACACGCGGAUGAGCAGAACGGACUUGACAGCCUCUUUAAGGUAUGCGGGAACAAGCAAUAGAGAGGCUAAGAUACCCCGGUUCCGGUUUACGAGUACGGGUGAUAUACACGUACGCGUACCCGUAAAUCGGGGAACGACUUGUAACAUAAGAAAUUCAAGAUAUUCCGACGUGAGAAACCGAUCAGAGAAUGGUAACUUUCGCUGUUCAGGUUCGCCACAAAUUGUUGAACACUUUGACGACCAUAUGUGCACUAUUUAUUUAUUUGGCUAAGAUGUUGAAAAUUUUUGAACAGCCCACAAAUAGUAAACAGAAAA